ACGAACGCUGGCGGCAUGCCUAACACAUUCCAGUCGAACGAGACCUUCGGGUCUAGUGGCGCACGGGUGCGUAACGCGUGGGAACCUGCCCUUAGGUUCGGAAUAACUCCCCGAAAGGGGUGCUAAUACCGGAUAAUGUCUUCGGACCAAAGAUUUAUCGCCUUUGGAUGGGCCCGCGUUGGAUUAGCUAGUUGGUAGGGUAAAAGCCUACCAAGGCGACGAUCCAUAGCUGGUCUGAGAGGAUGAUCAGCCACACUGGGACUGAGACACGGCCCAGACUCCUACGGGAGGCAGCAGUGGGGAAUAUUGGACAAUGGGCGAAAGCCUGAUCCAGCAAUGCCGCGUGAGUGAUGAAGGCCUUAGGGUUGUAAAGCUCUUUUACCCGGGAUGAUAAUGACAGUACCGGGAGAAUAAGCUCCGGCUAACUCCGUG
rnacentral:rRNA from 1 species